rnacentral:rRNA from 1 species
ACGCUGGCGGCAGGCCUAACACAUGCAAGUCGAGCGGUAGAGAGAAGCUUGCUUCUCUUGAGAGCGGCGGACGGGUGAGUAAUGCCUAGGAAUCUGCCUGGUAGUGGGGGAUAACGUUCGGAAACGGACGCUAAUACCGCAUACGUCCUACGGGAGAAAGCAGGGGACCUUCGGGCCUUGCGCUAUCAGAUGAGCCUAGGUCGGAUUAGCUAGUUGGUGAGGUAAUGGCUCACCAAGGCGACGAUCCGUAACUGGUCUGAGAGGAUGAUCAGUCACACUGGAACUGAGACACGGUCCAGACUCCUACGGGAGGCAGCAGUGGGGAAUAUUGGACAAUGGGCGAAAGCCUGAUCCAGCCAUGCCGCGUGUGUGAAGAAGGUCUUCGGAUUGUAAAGCACUUUAAGUUGGGAGGAAGGGUUGUAGAUUAAUACUCUGCAAUUUUGACGUUACCGACAGAAUAAGCACCGGCUAACUCUGUGCCAGCAGCCGCGGUAAUACAGAGGGUGCAAGCGUUAAUCGGAAUUACUGGGCGUAAAGUGCGCGUAGGUGGUUUGUUAAGUUGGAUGUGAAAUCCCCGGGCUCAACCUGGGAACUGCAUUCAAAACUGACUGACUAGAGUAUGGUAGAGGGUGGUGGAAUUUCCUGUGUAGCGGUGAAAUGCGUAGAUACAGGAAGGAACACCAGUGGCGAAGGCGACCACCUGGACUAAUACUGACACUGAGGUGCGAAAGCGUGGGGAGCAAAC